rnacentral:rRNA from 1 species
UACAGAGAGUGCGAGCGUUAAUCGGAAUUACUGGGCGUAAAGCGCACGUAGGUGGAUGUUUAAGUCAGAUGUGAAAGCCCCGGGCUUAACCUGGGAAUUGCAUUUGAUACUGGGCGUCUUGAAUAUAGUAGAGGGAAGUGGAAUUUCCGGUGUAGCGGUGAAAUGCGUAGAUAUCGGAAGGAACAUCAGUGGCGAAAGCGGCUUCCUGGACUAAUAUUGACACUUAGGUGCGAAAGCGUGGGGAGCAAACAGG